rnacentral:rRNA from 1 species
GAUGAACGCUGGCGGCGUGCCUAAUACAUGCAAGUCGAGCGAACGGACGAGAAGCUUGCUUCUCUGAUGUUAGCGGCGGACGGGUGAGUAACACGUGGAUAACCUACCUAUAAGACUGGGAUAACUUCGGGAAACCGGAGCUAAUACCGGAUGAUAUUUUGCACCGCAUGGUUCAAAAGUGAAAGACGGUCUUGCUGUCACUUAUAGAUGGAUCCGCGCUGCAUUAGCUAGUUGGUAAGGUAACGGCUUACCAAGGCAACGAUGCAUAGCCGACCUGAGAGAGUGAUCGGCCACACUGGAACUGAGACACGGUCCAGACUCCUACGGGAGGCAGCAGUAGGGAAUCGUCGGCAAUGGGCGAAAGCCUGACGGAGCAACGCCGCGUGAGUGAUGAAGGUCUUCGGAUCGUAAAACUCUGUUAUGAGGGAAGAACAUAUGUGUAAGUAACUGUGCACAUCUUGACGGUACCUAAUCAGAAAGCCACGGCUAACUACGUG